rnacentral:rRNA from 1 species
CUGAUGCAGCCAUGCCGCGUGUAUGAAGAWGGCCUUCGGGUUGUAAAGUACUUUCAGUUGUGAGGAAGGGUGUGUAGUUAAUAGCUGCACAUCUUGACGUUAGCAACAGAAGAAGCACCGGCUAACUCCGUCGCCACAGCCGCGGUAA